rnacentral:rRNA from 1 species
UACGGAGGGGGCGAGCGUUAUUCGGAAUUAUUGGGCGUAAAGGCGCGUAGGCGGCCGUCUAAGUCAAAGGUGAAAUCCCUCGGCUCAACUGAGGAACUGCCUUUAAAACUGGAUGCUUGAGGCCGGGAGGGGGUAGCGGAAUUCCCAGUGUAGCGGUGAAAUGCGUAGAUAUCUGGAGGAACACCGGUGGCGAAGGCGGCAUCCUGGACCGAUACUGACGCUGAGGAGCGAAAGCCAGGGGAGCAAAGCGGG